UACGUAGGAGGCGAGCGUUGUCCGGAAUUACUGGGCGUAAAGCGCGCGUAGGCGGUCUUUCGCGUAGGCGGUGAAAGCCCCCGGCUCACCCGGGGGAGGUCCGUCUAAACGGGGAGACUCGAGGGCGGUAGGGGCCGGUGGAACGCCCGGUGUAGCGGUGAAAUGCGUUGAGAUCGGGCAGAACACCAGUGGCGAAGGCGGCCGGCUGGGCCGUACCUGACGCUGAGGCGCGAAAGCCAGGGGAGCGAACGGA
rnacentral:rRNA from 1 species